CGCGAAACCUUUACACUGCACGCCAGUGCGAUAAGGGGACUCCAAGUGCGAGGGCAUAUCGUCCUCGCUUUUCACCACCGUAAGGUGGUGGUGGAAUAAGGGCUGGGCAAGACCGGUGCCAGCCGCCGCGGUAAUACCGGCAGCCCGAGUGAUGACCGCUAUUAUUGGGCCUAAAGCGUCCGUAGCUGGCCUCGCAAGUCCAUCGGGAAAUCCGCGCGCUCAACGCGCGGGCGUCCGGUGGAAACUGCGUGGCUUGGGACCGGAAGACCUGAGGGGUACGUCUGGGGUAGGAGUGAAAUCCUGUAAUCCUGGACGGACCACCGGUGGCGAAAGCGCCUCAGGAGGACGGAUCCGACGGUGAGGGACGAAAGCUCGGGUCACGAACCGGAUUAGAUACCCGGGUAGUCCGAGCUGUAAACGAUGUCUGCUAGGUGUGCCACAGGCUACGAGCCUGUGGUGUGCCGUAGGGAAGCCGUGAAGCAGACCGCCUGGGAAGUACGUCCGCAAGGAUGAAACUUAAAGGAAUUGGCGGGGGAGCACUACAACCGGAGGAGCCUGCGGUUUAAUUGG
rnacentral:rRNA from 1 species